rnacentral:tRNA from 3 species
CGGGGCGUAGCGCAGUCCGGUAGCGCACCUGCUUCGGGAGCAGGGGGUCGGAGGUUCAAAUCCUCUCGCCCCGA